rnacentral:tRNA from 1 species
GUGAGGGGCAGUGGCUCAGGGGUAGAGCACUUGCUUGGCAUGCAGAAGUUCCCAAGUUCAAUCCCCGGUACCUUCACU